AAGCCCAGAGGAUUCAACCGGCUAGAGUGUAGUGAAUGCGCCUGCGCAUCGAACGGCCAGAGUAAGAUUGGGUAGUCUACUGGAAGACAGUAGGCCCUGCCGCAAGGUGGGGAUGUGUGCACCGGGCGGAGGCCGGAACACGCUAUCCGUCUAUGGGCUGCCUAGCCGGUGCACUUUCUCUGUGGUGAACACCACGACCGGUGGAACUGCCAGUCUGUCAUAGUCAAGUCGUAGUGGGCGGGCUUUCGGGUCUGCCUGCUGUGAUCACGGGCGUACUUGGUAAACGGCGUUAGUGCAUCUUUACGGUGUGCCGACGUGUUAUCGGCUACUAGUCGCUUUAUCGGGCCUGCUUAAUGCACGUUAUAGCCGUGUGUUUUGUGGUCUGGUGGACUUUGAUGGUAAUAAUAACUGUGCAGRGCACCGGAGUUUUCGGCCUCAAAUGCAGUCUGCAUGCGUGCUAUGAAUGUGUUUGUGGGUGUCGUCGCGAGCUGGCUGUUGUUGGAUUUGAUUGUCGUGUUGCCUGCGAAAAG
rnacentral:rRNA from 1 species